ensembl:lncRNA
UGUGUGUGUGUGUGUGUGUGUGUGUGUGUGUGUUAAAGCUGCUACAGCACUAAGGACUGUAACUUUUCCCUUGCACAGUACAUUAUGAAGAAGACGUGUUUAGUCUCAACGGUUUCGCGGUCCUCAGGGUGAAAAUAUAUUAUAAAGCCAUAACUACCCUCACAGACACUUUAACACCAGCAACUACGUCUUUACACAUACCGCACGCAUCAAUAAAACAUAUAAUUCCCCUCAUAAAUAUAUCCCUCCUCAAGGUGCUCUCUGUCUAUCUGUCUGAUUCAUACCUUAAAAAAAUUUAACGAAAUAUAUUUUUAUAAUGCAUUGUGCUGCAACUAUUAAGGUGUGCACUCUCUGACUGCAGACACAUGCAUAGACACAUGCCCUCACUUUGACUUGUGCUCACAAUAGCUGACUGGUUUGUUAUACGGAUUCCCUCUUUGGUUGCUGAGAGGACCACUGAGAAAACACAUUUCCUGUGAGACUCUGCAUACAACUCUGGAACUUUUCCAUUAUAUAACAUUUCUAAUGGCUUUACAGUCACUGCAACCACAACUGCUACAUGUUUUCCUGCUAAAUAACAUGUUUUCAAAAGUAUGGGGCCUAACUUGUUUCACCCCCUCAGCAAGAAAUAGCAUAAUUUCCUGGUAAGUUUGACCAGAGGAUUGGGCUUGUAAAACAGCAAUCUUGUGUGCGGCUAUUCUGCAAGGCUAAAUAACUUUUAAUUAUUUCGCUUUGAGAGAUAAAAUGUGUUUCCAUCCAUGAAAUGAAAUCAUUUUAAGUAGGCUGACUUACAAUAGAUGGCUUCGUUAGUAUGCAUUUAACUUUACAGUCCAAAGGUGUGCCAGCGUAUCACAACAAAUGCAUCAAGUCUUUACUAAAUGCUGUUUCAUAAAUACAAUUCAGCCAUGACAACUCUCAGUGAAUUUGGGAGUGUGAAUAGGUUUGGUCUGACGGACUAGAUCUCCUACGCUGCUGCUGCUGAGCAAGUAUGAAUGCUUUCUCUGACAGACAUGGACAGACACAGAAAGAAGAGAAGCAUGCUGCUGGAAAAGGGUACAGAAGGAGGCGAGCCAUACCACCCCACUCCUCCCCCACCCCCCGUAGCAGAUCUAGAUGGUGGUGAUGUGGAAGAGGAGGGUAGGAUACAAAAUUUAGUAGCGCGUGCAGGCUAUAGGUGGCACGUUGGUCAGAAUUAUAAAGGGUUACAUGGUUGUUGUGCAGCAUCGAGGGAGCCAGUCAGUGCUCAGUUUCAUGGCUGAACUGGGCAUUUUUGUGAAAUGGUAGAUUGUCAUCAAAAAAGCAAUUUUACCCUGUAAGUGGUUGUUCUGUCAAUACUGAUUUUAGGCAGCUGAAUAAAAGAAUAAAGAGAAUCAAACGUCUGCUACUACACAGAUUUUUAGCAAAUGAACAUUGUGUUGUUUGGAAUGCUUUAAUAUAGAUUGUGUAAAUAAGAUCUAACAUUAAAUGACUACAUUUCCAUUAAUUAUGUAAAUGAUAAUGAUCAAGUGGUUUACCUAGGCUGUGGUGAAAACAAAUUCUGCCAACACGCAUACUGCAACUUCAUUUUGCUUUUUCGGUAUGUCAAAUAAAAUUUCUGUUAUCAGAAGGUCAUGAAUUGCAGAUGUAGCAUUAACUUUACCCUUUCAUAAAAUUCACCUUUAAAACAUUUCUGAAGCUACGUCCUGUGAUCUGUGCUGACAUCCCAGCACUUUGACGUUCAAGAAGGUGAGAGUGUGUGAAGCUGAUGAGCUUUCUUUCCCUGUGAAUCAUGUUCAUGGUGGUGAUGGAACUGUACAAGAGUGAGCCUGUAAAGCAUAUCCCUUAUGACUCAUUCCUCUCUAACACACAUGCAAGUUUCAACCCGAAAGUGUGGUAGCUCCCCAGAGAUGUAUCCUUAACUAUAGGACUAUAGGAGUCCACCUACAGUGCAUAAUUCUUCUUUCUUUCUGAAAUUCUUGAAUAUGCUGUAUACAAUCAGUUGUCCCUCUAUCUUACCCAAAAUUACCUCCAAGCUCCUAGCUUACCCAUGGCUUCAAAGUGGCACACUCCAUAGAAACUUCCUUUGUUGUUAUUACUGUGAAUCUUCAUGCUUCUAGAUCAGACAAACUAUUAAUGGUCCUUAUCCUCCUUGACCUUUCAACACUGUCAAUCACAAGACUCUCCUAUCCAUCCUCACAAGUCUUGGAAUUAGUGGCACAGCAUGGUUUGUAUCUUACCUGGAGGGACAGUCUUAUCAAGUGACAUGGCGGGGAUCUGUUCCAUGCAGAAACUCCACUAGUGCCCCACAUGGUUCAGUGAUUAGUCCUCUUCUGUUCUUCUCCUAUACUAGACACUUAUGUUUCUGCAGUGCUCUUAGCAUGUCAGGCAUAUCUCUCAUCCUGGAUGGCAGCUUACCAACUGAAACUAAGUCACAGCAAGACUCAGCUACUGUAAAUCCAUGGAGAUGCAUCCCCAUAUCAAGAUGUUGGGAUCUCCCUGGAGAACUCUUGGAUCACACCAUCUAGCAAUGGACGCAACAGCGAGGCGGUUCUGUACAACCAAUUAUACUUUUCAACUCACAUUGCUAACCUGACUUAGUUAUGCAGGGUUAUCCUUCAGGUGAUUGUUAUUUGUCAUCUUGAGAUUGUACUACUGCAACUCACCCCGACAUGUCAUCUGACCCUUGCAUCUUACCAAGAAUGCAGCUGCAUGACCUGUCUCCAGCCCAAGUUCUUCCCAUCACCCAAAUUCUGCAUUCGCCCUACUGGUUUAGAGCUUGCAUCAAAUGCAAAACACUGAUGCUUGCAUAAAAAGCCAAACAUGACCACCACCCACCUACCUAAAGACACUUAUCACCUUGUUCCCUUCGAGCCUCUACCAUGGCUUGACUUGGCCCAACAUUCCUCAAGAUACAAGGAAGACAUGCAUCCAUCGAGACUCUUCUCUGCACUGGCAUCCAGGUAAUGGAAUUCUCUUCUCCCGGCUGUCUGAUCAGCUGAGUAAAUCUGUUUUGCUGUACCAACUUCUCUAACAGGGUUCAAUUUGAUGGAAUUUGUAGACCUAAUGAACUAGCACAAGGUCAUGUUUCUGAUGGAGACUACAAAGCAUUUUUGUAAGUCUCACUGGAUUAGUGUGUUUGCUAAAUGCUGUAAAUGUAAAUGUAACUUUAGCCUUUCAUAAAAUUCACCUUUUAAAUGUUUCUGGUUCAAAAACAAAAGCUGUUCACUCAUUGCUAUUAUGUGGCAGUUCCUCAGCGAAGUAUCAUUAACUGUAGGAGUCCACAUCAUCUUCCCUAUCUUUACAUCUUUCCCUCACCACCCUGAGGUAUGGAAGGUCACUCUUUAGCAGCCCUGUGCUUGAUGACACCUGCAAGACUGUACAUGGAAAAGCACUUCAUGUUUGCCUGUGUUUAACCUGUGGUCUGCAAGGUUCCAAUAGAUAAAAGACAGCUCCAUUAAUAAUUCUGUCAGCAAACCUCCUUCUGUGUUAAUCGGGCUGGUAUAAAUGAAGUAUGAAUUCUGACAAGCUUAAAAAAAAAUUAAAUAUUAUUUCUACAACUGGCAUCCCUCAUAUUAGCAGUCCUUAAGUGAACCAUAGUUAAGUGAUUAUGAAACUUUUCACCAUCAUGCAAUUUUUCUCUAUCAGAUCAAAUGCAGGAUAACAGAACAGCAUUCGCCAGCCCCUUGGAAACAUUAGAUAAUGUGAAUUGAAUGAGAGUGUAUCUCAAGUAGCAUUACAGCUAUUAUUUCUGUAUGUUUCCAAGUGAAAGUGAAUCAAUACCUAGUAUCCUAGUUUUACCCCAACUGCCCAAGCUGAGAAGUUGCUGACCACCAGCACUAGCAGGCUGCUUGUAUCUUAAGCAAUCUGGGCAUUGCUCUCUGUAUUGGUUAGACCUAUUGUGUCAAGAACCAUCCACUCUAAAAUAUAUGGCGUAAAUAAGUUGUUUUUGUAUCAACCCUUGCUCACAGGUCCCUGUAGUAUCAGCAAUUGGAACAGAUGCAAUCCAAUUGAGUGAUUGAUUACAUUUUCUUAUUUAUUAUAUGUCUAGGCAAAAGAAAAUACUGAAACUCUAAUGAGGGCCGAUGCAUGACAGACAUUUGCUGCCUGUAGAUCAAUAAGAUCAUUAUGGGGUCUUGAUUAAUCUUGUUUGACUGAGCAAGGUUAGCUCUUUCUAAAACAUUGUAUUCACGUGAGAAAAAAGAAAAACCAUGAUGGGUUGUCUAUAACUAGCUUUGAGAUGCCAGUGUUCUAGAAAGUUCCACAAAUUGUUUAAGACCCUACAUUAGUCAGUACCUAGGAUUCUGUUUUUCAACAAAUGAAUACAGUGUGUACAGAGAGUAAACUGCAGCAUCAUUUCUCAUGGGGUAAAUAUAUAAUAAGCACAUACUAUAGUCCAUAUAAUAGGCCAUAUAAUGGGAACACUGUACAAUAUCGUUCAACAACACAUAGGUAACUAUGCAGUAACUAAGCUGGAACGGAUGAGUAGCUAUUUGUUAACACCUAUCUUAUUCCUGUAAAUUCUAAAAACAACUAGUUAAUUACUUAGUCACAAGAUUCUCCUGUCCAUUUUAUAAUAACUUCUUUUUUUUUUAAUAAUAACUGCUGAUUCAUUACGAAUCACACCAACAUUACUUAACAUUAGCAAAGCCUUAUCGUCCUCAUGGAGAUCUACUACCCAAUGUUGUUUUUAUUCAGCCAGUCAAGGUCUAAAGAGAGUAAUAGACAACAAUACCCUACAAAAGUAUAAGGCUGAAAUGUAGCAAUCAGUAACAAAUUCACAUUAAAAUUUGUUUGUAAUACACAGAAACACUUCAGUCAUUAAUAAUGAGUUUCCAUGUGUUUUACUUUACAGUACAGUUCCACGUCUUCAUUAAUUACUGAAGAACUUCAGAGUAACACUUCAGUCAUUACUAAUGAGUUUCAGUUUAUUGUUUAAACUUAUAUCCAUAUAUUUAAAAUACAUGCAAACAACAUUCAUAUGUGAGCCAUACAUCCUGGAGCUGUUAUGGUACAAAACAGGGGUAGCAAAUAAAUGUAAAAGUUACAAUCAAAUUCCUUAAAACAAUUAAAUAAAUAAAAAAUUAUAAUACAUUGAACAAACAUUAACAUAAGCAUGCCGUUUGCUCAUAUUACAUAUCACAUGGAAGGUGAAAAAACGUUACUUUUUAAAACAAAGAAUAUAAUAAGAAUGCAGUGUCAGAAUUUUAUAAUUUACUUUCAUGUUUAUAUUCAUUUUCUUUUAUGUAUGAAUAUAAACACUUAGCAUAGUUACCAUAUCUUAGCCUAAUCAAAUCUGUGUAAAGCCCUGCUAGCUCCAACGUGUUUUAUGUGGAAUCUCAGAUAACUUCCUCUUAAAUAGCAACUCUCACAUAGUGUACAAAAGUUGGGACUCUGUGUAAAAUGUUAAUAAAAACAGAAUGCAAUGAUUUGCAAAUCUUAUAAACCCAUGAGAAACUGACCACAGAACAGUUUUCCAUUUUGCUUCAGUCCAUUUUAAAUUAGCUUUGGUCCAGAGAAGACGGCAGCGUUUCAGGAUCAUGUUCACAUGUGGCUUCUUCACAUUCCAGCAUUUGUGGAUGGAAUGGCGAACUGUGUUCACAGAGAAUGAGUUCUGGAGGUGUUUCUGAGCCCAUGCGGUGAUUUCCAUUACAGAAUCAUGCCUGUUUUUAAUGCAGUGCUGCCUGAGUGCCCAAAUAUUGAUUUUCACCCUUGUCCCUUGCGUACAGAUAUUUCUUCAGAUUCUCUGAAUCUUUUGGUGAUAUUACGUAGAUGAUGAGAUAUUCAUAGUGAUUGCAAUUUUACAUUGAGGAACAUUAUUCUGAAAUUGUUCCACAAAUUGUAGGUGCAGUGUUUUGCAGAUUGGUGAACCUCUGCCCAGCUUUACUUCUGAAAGACUCUGCCUCGCUAAGAUACUUUUUAUUCAUACCCAAUCAUGUUACUGACCUGUUGCCAAUUAACUUCAAGCUGUUUCUUUUUAGUAACACUUACUAUUCCAGCCUUUUGUUCCCCUGGCCCAACUUUUUUGAGAUGUAUUGCAUCCAUCAAAUUCAAAAUUACCUUUUUUUUUUCUUAAAAUGGUACAUUUACUCAGUUUCAACAUUUUAUAUGUUUUCUAUGCUCUAUUGUGAACACCAUAUGGGUUUAUGAGAUUCUGUUUUCAUUCACAUUUUACACAGUGUCUCAACUUUUUUGGAAUUGGGGUUGUGUGUGCAUGUGUGUGUGUGUGUGUGUGUGUGUGUGUGUGUGUGUGUGUGUGUGUGUGUGUGUGUACAUAUAGUCCACAUAGUGCACUACAUAU